GACGAACGCUGGCGGCGUGCCUAAUACAUGCAAGUAGAACGCAGUUGCGAACGGGUGAGUAACGCGUAGGUAACUGCCUGGUAGCGGGGGAUAACUAUUGGAAACGAUAGCUAAUACCGCAUACUACCAGAUGGACCUGCGUUGUAUUAGGUAGUUGGUGGGGUAACGGCUCACCAAGGCAACGAUACAUAGCCGACCUGUGAGGGGGAUCGGGCAAAAUGGGACUUAGACACGGCCCAGACUCCUACGGGAGGCAGCAGGAGGGGAUCGUCGGAAAUGGGGGGAACCCUGACCGAGCAACGCCGCGUGAGUGAAGAAGGUUUUCGGAACGUAAAGCCCUGGUGUUAAGGAAGCGGUACUUAACCAGAAAGGGACGGCUAACUACGUGCCAGCAGCCGCGGUAAUAC
rnacentral:rRNA from 1 species